rnacentral:rRNA from 1 species
CUUACACAUGCAGUCGAGCGGGGAGAUGGUAGCUUGCUACNCUUNNNCCUAGCGGCGGACGGGUGAGUAAUGCUUAGGAAUCUGCCUAUUAGUGGGGGACAACAUUCCGAAAGGAAUGCUAAUACCGCAUACGCCCUACGGGGGAAAGCAGGGGAUCUUCGGACCUUGCGCUAAUAGAUGAGCCUAAGUCAGAUUAGCUAGUUGGUGGGGUAAAGGCCUACCAAGGCGACGAUCUGUAGCGGGUCUGAGAGGAUGAUCCGCCACACUGGGACUGAGACACGGCCCAGACUCCUACGGGAGGCAGCAGUGGGGAAUAUUGGACAAUGGGCGAAAGCCUGAUCCAGCCAUGCCGCGUGUGUGAAGAAGGCCUUUUGGUUGUAAAGCACUUUAAGCGAGGAGGAGGCUACUUGGAUUAAUACUCUAGGAUAGUGGACGUUACUCGCAGAAUAAGCACCGGCUAACUCUGUGCCAGCAGCCGCGGUAAUACAGAGGGUGCGAGCGUUAAUCGGAUUUACUGGGCGUAAAGCGUGCGUAGGCGGCUUUUUAAGUCGGAUGUGAAAUCCCUGAGCUUAACUUAGGAAUUGCAUUCGAUACUGGGAAGCUAGAGUAUGGGAGAGGAUGGUAGAAUUCCAGGUGUAGCGGUGAAAUGCGUAGAGAUCUGGAGGAAUACCGAUGGCGAAGGCAGCCAUCUGGCCUAAUACUGACGCUGAGGUACGAAAGCAUGGGGAGCAAACAGGAUUAGAUACCCUGGUAGUCCAUGCCGU